CUUCUCAAGGCACCGGUGGUCCUUAUCUCCUUUACCAAGGGUUAGCACCCGGGAUGGUCAUCGUGCCCGUUAACCAACUGAAUCAGAUGUUUGCCGCCGGUGCGCCGGUAUUAACGCCGCUCUCAAACAGCGUCAGCAACACCUUUAUCUCCAACACCGGUAGCUCGGGCAGUUCGGGGAGCACCGGAAGUUCGGGAAGUUCGGGAAGCAGCGGCACUUAUGGCAGUUCCUCCUACACCGGCCGGAGGUAAACCCCACCGCCCAAAAAACCUCCGGCGAUUGUUGAAAGAUUGUAAUUAUGUCGGCGCAGGACUGAAUGUGUCAUGGAAGCACGUGUUGUUGUCGCAGUGGGCGGAGCCCUUGUACAUUUUGUAGAUUAACCAAAGUAUUACGUGUAAUGACGGAAGCAUGAUCAAAAUGCCACUUGAAAUAAAUAAAAGUUUUCCCAUGA